rnacentral:rRNA from 1 species
CGCGUAGGCGGUUGGAUAAGUCAGAUGUGAAAGCCCACGGCUCAACUGUGGAAGUGCAUUUGAAACUGUCUGGCUUGAGUAUCGGAGGGGAGUGUGGAAUUCCCGGUGUAGAGGUGAAAUUCGUAGAGAUCGGGAGGAACACCGGUGGCGAAGGCGACACUCUGGACGAAUACUGACGCUGAGGCGCGAAAGCGUGGGGAGCAAACA